AUUUUAAUCGUAGGCAUUCAAUCAAGUAGAUAUAGUAAAUGUGAUAAUUUCUAACACAUUCAAACAUUUUUAUAUUCAAAAUUGUUAAAUUUAAUUGUUAUAGUGUAUAGUUUAUCGUCGUGUAUUUAUAUUUAUAAAAUAUAAUAAAAUUAUUAGUGUAAUAGUGUAUAUACCUACUUAAUUAAAAAUAUUAAUAGUGAAUAACAAUACAUUCGAUGUUAUGGUUAAGAUGAUAAAAUCCUUAUACUUGGGACCAAAGGAUUUAUACGACAUCUGUUGGUAAUAGAGUUUUUAAGGAUGAUCUACAGAAAUUUACUUGGAUCCAGCUAUAUUUGGUAUUUGAUUGAAAUAUGUAGAAUCACAAUAAUACAGAGAAAGAACCAUAAACCACCUUGAAGGAUGGCAUGCAGCUGAAAUAUGCUAGUAUAGCACAAAAAACUACUAUCAGCCACAAAAGAUGAAAACUAAUUAUUAAGAAUUAGAAGGAAGAUUAUCAUUUGCAAAAUAAGGCUAUAACAUGGUGUGAUUUGUAUUUUGGAGUACUUGGACGCAAUAAUGUUCCAUUUUCAUUUAUGACUAUAGAAAUUUAUAUGGUUAGGUUUUUUUUUGUGUAUAGCAGAUAGUUGUCUUUAACAAUGUUUGUGAUUUAUACAAAUAAUUUAAAACAAUGAAAUUGUUUAGUAUAAUUCAUUUUGAACUAAAUAUAAUGUGUGUAUCAGAUGUCGGAUGUUGGAAAAUCGAGUGUUGAGAAAAUGGUGUGUCGGUGAAUUGACUUGUCAGUCAAUCGGUACCUACGUCAUGACUUUAGUAGUUAAUGGUUUAUCAAUGAAUUUAAAUUUAAUAUAUUCAUUAUAGUGAUCAACUCAGUGAUGAGGCACACAU